GCCACCUGGUCAUGGGCAAGCACCCGUUCAGGAGGGGCCAGGAGAUCAUCUGGGGGCGGAUCUUGUCCCCACGACGGCUCUCUCAAGAGUGCCAGGAUGUCAUUAAGAGGUGUUUGUCCAUGCAGCCCUUGGACAGGUCGUCAUUAGAAGAGCUUUUCUGUGAUCCUUGGGUGCAGGGUGUUCCUCUGCCCUAGAGGAUGGGAGAGAUGCACGUGCACAGUUGGAUCCAGGGGCCUGGCAGGGAAGGAGAAGGAGCCCCUGGAGAAGCUGCACCAGGUGGGGCUGCUGCUGCUGGAGACACCAAGGACAACCUCAAGGAUGACAAUCUCUUCCUUGGGCUGGCCAGCUGAAGAUGAUGGACUUGGAUUCUGGCACCUUCUCCAAAGCCAGGCUCCACAGGGAAUUUGCAGAUGAGUCCACAUGCAGGGGAUGCUCCCAGAUUUGGGCAUUGCUCAGCCUGGCCGGGAACCAAAGGUUCCCCCCUUUGCUGGGGCGGAUGCAGCUGAUCCUUCAGUCGGCUGCCCAGCUGCUUUUGGCAGGGCUCGGGGCAUGGGCUGGGGUGGGUACGAAAUGGGAGUGGGCUCCUGGCCCUGCCAACAGCCCCCAGCACCCACCGUGCCCCGGGCUGGGGCUGGGGCUGGGGCAGCCAGCCCGACAGAUACAAACCCCCAUGGUGGGAGCAGAGGUGGGACUCCAGAACCUGUGCAGGGGCUGCUUUGCUUUGCAGGCAAGGAAGGGCUUGGGCUGCUCCACUGCCCCUGUUUGCUUUGAGAUCACCGUUAUUUUGGGGGGUAGUGCAGGGGGAAGGGAGAAAGCCUGGGUUUCCCUCACCUGUGGGUGGGGUUUUCCCUGGCAUGCAGGGGUUGGGCCUUCCUCAAGCCCCAGACAGAGAUAAGAUUUUUGACCUUUUUUCUUGUUCCCCUUUUUGUCUGUAAUCUAUUUUCAAUUAUUUGUUGUUUGCUUUUCUAGAGGAAACGUUCUAGGUGGGGUCCAGUCUGGAUGGGGAAGUGCUUGGGAGCAGCUGCGGCGUGGAUGGGCCGUGCCCUUGGAGAAGGCUGAGGACAUCGUUUGGGACCAGCUUUUCUUCCAGCGGGGGAUGGCGUCAGCCGGGCUCUGCGGGUGCUGAGGCUGCUCUGGGCUCUGCCAGGGCUCUGCUGGAGCUCAGUACCGGGCCAGAAUCAGCCAAAGAAGAAAUGGUGUGCCCUGCAGCACAGCCUUGCUUGAGCAUUUCAGCAACACAGCUCAAGUUUGCAGAGUGUACACCUCCCAGGGAAAACACAACACCACCCAAAAAAUAAACUUGUUCAAUAGCUUCUGAAAUGAAAUCAAUCUGGGAUGACCCCAAAUGACAUUUUGCAGCUUGCUCAAGCUGUAGCUCAGCCCUUCUCUGAACUGUUCUCUCUCCCACCUGCAUUUUACUCCCCAACUGCUCCCCCAGUGAGUUCCCAGCCCGUGGCAGUCUCCAUCACACUGCUGCCUUCCUUGGUGCCCCUCACCAUGAGGAAGGCCGAGCCCCAGGCUUAGGGACUCAUCCUGUCACUGGCUGAGGAGCAGCAAUGUCUCAGAGGUCUGGUUGGAUUUUAGUGUCCUUCAGAGCUGCUCUCCAGCCCUCAGCUCUCCUCACUGCUGAGCUCCCACUCCCUUUUCCUUGUCCUUACAGCAGGAUGAGCUCUGUG